UGAGUCCAGCGGUACAACUGAA
rnacentral:siRNA from 1 species